CCUACGGGUGGCAGCAGUGAGGAAUAUUGGUCAAUGGGCGAGAGCCUGAACCAGCCAAGUCGCGUGAGGGAGUACUGCCCUAUGGGUUGUAAACCUCUUUUGUCGGGGAGCAAAAGCCGGACGUGUCCGGCUGUGAGAGUACCCGAAGAAAAAGCAUCGGCUAACUCCGUGCCAGCAGCCGCGGUAAUACGGGGGAUGCGAGCGUUAUCCGGAUUUAUUGGGUUUAAUGGGUGCGCAGGCGGAUUUUUAAGUCAGCGGUAAAAUCGUGGGGCUCAACCCCAUCCAGCCGUUGAAACUGGGGAUCUAGAGUGUGCGAGAGGUAUGCGGAAUGCGUGGUGUAGCGGUGAAAUGCAUAGAUAUCACGCAGAACCCCGAUUGCGAAGGCAGCAUACCGGUGCACAACUGACGCUCAGGCACGAAAGCGUGGGUAUCGAACAGGAUUAGAUACCCUUGUAGUC
rnacentral:rRNA from 1 species